rnacentral:misc_RNA from 1 species
AGAGCCGUGGGGCUGGCUCCGGAGUCCGCCGCGGUCCCGGGCCAUGGUCGAGCCCUACGUCGGAGGCGCCCUGCACCCCGCAGCCUGGGACUGGCCGCCGGGGGCCCCGCUCUGCUGUGCCGCGUACAGCCCGCGCUGCUUCAUCAUCCAGAAGAAUUCCGGCAGUGCCGCAUCGGAUCGCAUGUAUUUGGACAAGUACAUUGACACGAAACCAGCAACCACCACGCAAAGCCUGAACCCUAACGCCGACAUAUUCUACAGCAAGAAUGCGCUGGCCAAGUCCGAAGAUGACGAUGCAGGAGGAGGAGGUGGAGUGUGCUGUGAUGGGUCAGAGGUAGCAUCGGAGGGGGGCACGGCCAUGGCGCCCCCGCCGCCCCACGGCCUGGGGCCCCCCCAUUUCAACCCUGAUGAGCUGCCUCUGGCGGACCUGCGUCGCAUGCUCAUGCAGCAGCUCGAGUACUACUUCUCCAGGGAAAAUCUUGCCAAUGACACAUACCUGCUAUCUCAAAUGGACAGUGACCAGUAUGUGCCCAUUGGUACUGUGGCCAACUUCAAUCAGAUCAAAAAGCUAACCAAGGAUCUUAGUCUCAUUGUCGACGUCCUACGAGAAUCCCCCAACGUGCAGGUAGAUGAGGCUGGUGAAAAGGUUCGCCCCAACCACAAACGCUGUGUCCUGAUACUUAGGGAAAUACCAGAGAGCACUCCUGUAAAAGACAUCGAGGCACUCUUCAAGGCCAGUGACAAGUGCCCACAGUUCUUGAGCUGCGAGUUUGCCCACAAUAGCAGCUGGUAUGUGACAUUUGAGUCUGACGAAGAUGCACAACAGGCCUACAGGUACCUGCGCGAAGAAGUGCGCUCCUUCCAAGGGAAGCCCAUUAUGGCCCGCAUCAAAGCCAAGCCCAUCUCGCGAGCCUCAUUUCUGCCACCGUACAAGAAUGGUUUACGGCACCAGCCUCCCCACCUGAUGGCCGGUGGGGAGGGUCUUGGCAGUGCCCCUGCCACAGCAGCUACUCCUGCCGCUGCCAGUGGGCCUGCCCCAGGGGGGGUCUCGACGCAACCGCUGAGCACCAGCCAACCAGCAGCCGCCACCACCCCCGUGGCACCUCAGCAGACCACACAGGCAUCCACAUUUUAUCAGGGGCCACUACAGGUGAAUUAUGGUCCAGCCAAUGCAGGCAGCAACAGUGCAGGGCCAGGCACCGCUCAGCUGUACCCGCCCUUCUACCCUCCCGCUAUGCUGCAGACCUGGACACCAGCCACUCCCACAUGUUUUGACCUGGGAACGGUGUUCUCGAUGAACGGCCUGGCACCCCAGGCUACCUACAAGCCCCUGAAUGGGACAGGUGGCACGGGUCGGCACGGCUUCCCUGUCCUGUGGCCGGGCAGUGGUGGCCGUUCGUCCAAGUCUUACCUGCGGACAGGUGGUGCCUCCUAUGAUGGCGAUUCGCGGGGCUUCUAUGAGCGGCACGGCGGCAGCCUCCUAGGCCCCGGUUACCCGUCAACCUACCUUGCUGGCCCACCCGCCUUUCCACUUUCCCGGGGUGGUGGUGGAGGACCCCCACCUGCAUACAUUCAGGAGUACCUGCCUACGACUGGUGGCGGCAAACGGGACUCUGGCAACUCUCUCUACUCCCUGUACUCCAGGGGAAGUCCCAAGGGGGACACGGGCAAGGACUCCGGUGGCGGCAGUGGCUCUUCACAAAAGUACCAAGACAGCCGGAUGCGACGGAGGAAAAAGGAAGAAAAUGGUUCCAACAAAACAGACGGUAGUAAUGCAGACACCAGCAAAUCAAGGGAAGAAGCUGAAGCCCCUAAGUUUGAUCUGGAGGAAGCUGCCUUUCCGCCUUUGCCUGGCUUCCUGGAGGAGGAAUCGUUGGGCCAGGGAGCCGUGUCAGAUGACAGCUCCUCGGCUCUAACGACGCCCGCUGCAGCUACAGCCAACAGCAGGCUCUCAGACAUAGUUCGUGGUGCUGCGCCUAGCCGCACACUAAGUAACAGCGCCAUCAGUCCCUGCUUACCGGCUGCCACACCUGUUCCCUCAUUGGCCACAAAUGCAGCAUCCUCAACCAAACCUCCAACACGUGACUGUAAAACACAAACGGCAGAGUCUGCCCUGAGUCCUGCAGUGGCCGCCGGCACUGCCAACUCUGUGUCAACCCUUGUCACCAAGGACAGUGCCACCCUGACCAAUGGCAGCGACUUCCCAGCGACUAUGCUGACUCCACCUGCUUCUCCUGUGUCUCCAAACACUGCCACGUACCACAGAAGACAGCAGCAGCAGCUGCUGAAGAAGGAGGUCGCAAGCUGACCUAUUCGGAGGUGGCAGCCAUGGCCAAAAGCCGAGCAGCCACGCAAGCCACACCUGAGCAGCCCAAGGAGGGCACAAAGCCGGGCCUCCGAAACUCGGGUCAUGGUCAACGGCCAGAGCAGGCAGCUGUGGGUCAACCACAGAGGGGUCCUGGCCGAAGGAUGGAGCCACGUGCACACUCGCGAGACCGCCGAUCUGCAGCCGCUGGCUCCC